CUGGCUCAGGACGAACGCUGGCGGCGUGCUUAACACAUGCAAGUCGAACGAUGAAGCCUAGCUUGCUAGGUGGAUUAGUGGCGAACGGGUGAGUAAUACGUGAGUGACCUACCUUUGACUCUGGGAUAAGCCUGGGAAACUGGGUCUAAUACCGGAUACGACCAAUCUCCGCAUGGGGUGUUGGUGGAAAGCGUUAUGGAGUGGUUUUAGAUGGGCUCACGGCCUAUCAGCUUGUUGGUGAGGUAAUGGCUUACCAAGGCGACGACGGGUAGCCGGCCUGAGAGGGUGACCGGCCACACUGGGACUGAGACACGGCCCAGACUCCUACGGGAGGCAGCAGUGGGGAAUAUUGCACAAUGGGCGCAAGCCUGAUGCAGCGACGCCGCGUGAGGGAUGACGGCCUUCGGGUUGUAAACCUCUGUUAGCAUCGAAGAAGCGAAAGUGACGGUAGGUGCAGAGAAAGCGCCGGCUAACUACGUGCCAGCAGCCGCGGUAAUACGUAGGGCGCGAGCGUUGUCCGGAAUUAUUGGGCGUAAAGAGCUUGUAGGCGGUUGGUCGCGUCUGCUGUGAAAGGCCGGGGCUUAACUCCGGUUUUGCAGUGGGUACGGGCUAACUAGAGUGCAGUAGGGGAGACUGGAAUUCCUGGUGUAGCGGUGGAAUGCGCAGAUAUCAGGAGGAACACCGAUGGCGAAGGCAGGUCUCUGGGCUGUAACUGACGCUGAGAAGCGAAAGCAUGGGGAGCGAACAGGAUUAGAUACCCUGGUAGUCCAUGCCGUAAACGUUGGGCACUAGGUGUGGGGGACAUUCCACGUUUUCCGCGCCGUAGCUAACGCAUUAAGUGCCCCGCCUGGGGAGUACGGCCGCAAGGCUAAAACUCAAAGGAAUUGACGGGGGC
rnacentral:rRNA from 1 species